rnacentral:misc_RNA from 1 species
AACGCAAAUUGCGCUCUUUGGUAUUCCGAAGAGCAUGCCUGUUUGAGUGUCAUGAUAACCUCACCCUUCUAGUUUUGAACUAGUUGAGUGAUUUGGACGUCUGCCAGCUUCACGGCUGGCUCGUCUUAAAUGCAUUAGUGGAACGAUAGCUUGAUAAGUCUUUGCUUGAUUCCACUUUAAAUAUUUAAUUUUGACCUCAAAUCAGGUAGGACUACCCGCUGAACUUAA